AGCGAACGCUGGCGGCAGGCCUAACACAUGCAAGUCGAACGAACCUUCCGGGGUUAGUGGCGGACGGGUGAGUAACACGUGGGAACGUGCCUUUAGGUUCGGAAUAACUCAGGGAAACUUGUGCUAAUACCGAAUGUGCCCUUCGGGGGAAAGAUUUAUCGCCGUUAGAGCGGCCCGCGUCUGAUUAGCUAGUUGGGUGAGGUCAUGGCUCACCAAGGCGACGAUCAGUAGCUGGUCUGUGCGAAGGAUCAGCCACAUUGGAACUGAGACACGGCCCAAACUCCUAGGGGAGGCAGCAGGUGAUUACCUUGCGCAAUGGGCGAAAGUCUGACGCAGCCGUGCCGCGUGAAUGAUGAAGGUCGUAGGAUAGUAAAUUUCUUUCUGCCGAGACGAUAAUGACGGUACCCGGAGAAGAAGCCCCGGCUAACUUCGUG
rnacentral:rRNA from 1 species